UAAUACGGAGGGGGCAAGCGUUGUUCGGAAUUACUGGGCGUAAAGGGCGCGCAGGCGGUUUUGUUAGUCAGGCGUGAAAUCCCCGGGCUCAACCCGGGAACUGCGUUUGAUACUGCGAAACUAGAGAUCGGGAGAGGGUAGUGGAAUUCCCAGUGUAGAGGUGAAAUUCGUAGAUAUUGGGAAGAACACCAGUGGCGAAGGCGGCUACCUGGACCGAUACUGACGCUGAGGCGCGAAAGCGUGGGGAGCAAACAGGAUUAGAUACCCUGGUAGUCCACGCCGUAAACGAUGUGUGCUAGACGUCGGGGGUUACGCCUUCGGUGUCGCAGCUAACGCAUUAAGCACACCGCCUGGGGAGUACGACCGCAAGGUUAAAACUCAAAUGAAUUGACGG
rnacentral:rRNA from 1 species